UGUGUGACUGUAGUCACUGACAUUAGACUACCCCUGUAGUCCAGGGUGUAAACGCUGCAGACUUGGUGUUGGGAACCCUUCGGGGGUGCUCAGUGCCGGAGAGAAGUUGUUAAGUCUGCUACUUGGGGAGUACGUCCGCAAGGAUGAAACUUAAAGGAAUUGGCGGGGGAGCACCGCAACGGGAGGAGCGUGCGGUUUAAUUGGAUUCAACGCCGAAAAACUCACCAGCAGCGACUGUUACAUGAAAGUCAGGUUGAUGACCUUACUAGAUUUUCAG
rnacentral:rRNA from 1 species